CAGACCGCCAACAAGGCUUCAUGCUGUGAUCCCAUUGUGUUUUCCACCUAAUAGCUCCCAGCCAUAGUCAUCUGCAGGCAUCUGUUUACAAAAAAAAUAAACAUUUGGCCAAGAU